UAAGGAAUAUUGGUCAAUGGACGCAAGUCUGAACCAGCCAUGCCGCGUGAAGGAUGAAGGUCCUCUGGAUUGUAAACUUCUUUUAUCUGGGACGAAAACGGGAUUUUUAUCUCAAUUGACGGUACCAGAGGAAUAAGCACCGGCUAACUCCGUGCCAGCAGCCGCGGUAAUACGGAGGGUGCGAGCGUUAUCCGGAUUUACUGGGUUUAAAGGGUGCGUAGGUGGGCUUAUAAGUCAGUGGUGAAAUCUCCGAGCUUAACUUGGAAACUGCCGUUGAUACUAUAGGUCUUGAAUUAUCUGGAGGUAAGCGGAAUAUGUCAUGUAGCGGUGAAAUGCUUAGAUAUGACAUAGAACACCAAUUGCGAAGGCAGCUUACUACAUAUAAAUUGACGCAGAGGCACGAAAGCGUGGGGAUCAAACA
rnacentral:rRNA from 1 species